rnacentral:rRNA from 1 species
UACAGAGGCCUCGAGCGUUAGGCGGAAUCACUGGGCUUAAAGCGUGUGUAGGCGGACUUCUAAGUCACUUGUGAAAUCCCACGGCUUACCCGUGGAACUGCUCGGUAUACUGGUUGUCUUGAGCCACCUAGGGGCGAGUGGAACAAAUGGUGGAGCGGUGAAAUGCGUAGAUAUCAUUUGGAACGCCAAUGGUGAAAACAACUCGCUGGGGGUGUGCUGACGCUGAGACACGAAAGCCAGGGGAGCGAACGGG